GAAACACAAACCCUAAUCUCGAUCCCCUUUCACAGAUGAGCGAAGUGUUCAAAUGACCUAAAUGAUGAAAAAUACCCUUGAGCAAAAACAUAAAAGAUGAAAAAAAAAAAAAUCAAUCGGACGAAGGAAGAAAACCGAAGAAGAAGAAACAGGAGCUCGAUCCGCCGAAAUCCCCAAAUCGCCGCUCGAUCCGCCGACAAUCGCCGUCGCGCAACCUCCGCCUUCGACGAUUGAUCCCUCCGCCGUCGCCGCUCUGUAGAUCCGCCGUUGCCUCGGAAGAUCUGCCGUCUCGCCACUCGAUCCGAAAGUGUGGAGGUAGAGAAAUCAAACGUUCUUUCUAACUGAGUUUGUAAUUGACUUUGCCAUUUUGUUACAGAUGCAUGAUAAAGCUGAAUUAGCAGAGAUGGCUGUCACUUGCUGCAAAAGAAGGUCUCUAUUCAGCAUAUACUGGAAUUGGGUACUUGUAUGUCAAAUGUUAUGGAGUAGAUAAUAAAAACUACACUUAAGGUAAAUUCUCUUUAUGGUCUCAUUAUUCUCAGGCUUGCUUGUUGAUUUAGUAGGUAUUAUCUAAUCAUAAAGGAACCAAGACAAUAAGCUGAAAGAUUGUAAAACAUUAUAGAUUAGUCUAACAUUCCAUUGAUAUAUAUGCCUUCAAAUGCAGGCAAGAGAAUAUUUUGAGAAGGUUGUCGACAAUGACUAUACUAGUGGGCAUUUUAACCUUGGAGUUUUGUUACCGUUUGAGGAAUGUUUUGGCUUGCUUUGGUUUUGUUGAGAUGUCUGAAUCCUUGUUUGUUUUUAUUAAAUUGACAGUACCAUGCUUGAUGGUGGGCGUGGCAGAGAUUAGAAGACUAGAAAUGGUUAAGAGAUAGAUUAGAAGAUUCGUUGAUCAAUGAAAAGAAACUGGUUUCACAAUGCCGAUAAGAAUUGGCAAAGGUAAGCAUAGGCUCGGUCUUGUUUUAGUUUCAUGAUUCAUGAUUAAUGUUUUUGGAUUGCUGUUAAGACCAUGUUAUUGAAUCUUAUUUCUAUGAGAGGUUCAAUGGUUUUUCAAGUGGAUAUAACGAUCCUACUUAUGUUUAGGUUCUUGCUGAGAAUGGCAAAGCUAAAGCUAUUGCCUUUGAUGAAAUUGAUAAAGCUCCUGAAGAGAAGAAGAGAAGAAGAGAGGAAUUACAAUUGCUACGGUCUGUCUUCUCUCCCAUCUUCUAAUUGGAUUCCACGUCAAUAUUUUUUCUAGUCAUUAUAUUUGUUUUUAAUUUUAGUUUCUAUUCUACUGUGAUAUUCUAAUUUAACAAAGUAGUAAUUGUAAUUAUAAGAAAUUGUAAGAUUUUUUGAUUUUUAAUAUUAUUGCUUACUUUUAUAGUUUUUUUUUUUUGUAAGAAUUUGUAUUUAUUUUCAGUUUUCUUUUCAUAUUUACUUGUUUUUCUUAUUUUAUUCGGAUUUUUUAUUUUAAUUCAAUAUUAUUUAUGGCCGGUUUUUGGUUGGAUUUCGUUCCUUGAUAUUUAGUCGGAUUUUUGUUAUCGGUUUUUUGUCGGAAAUUUUUCAUCAGUUUUUUGUCAGAAACUUAUCAUCGGUUUUUCGUCGGAAUUGUUUUGGUCGGAUUGUGGUUACAAAUUAGCUUUCCUCUGAUUUUGGUCUUUUUGUCGUCGUUUUUUUUUCUCUCGUUAUUUCGUGGAUUUUUCCAAUGAAAUUCCGACCAAACUCCAAUUUCGAUCGACAUAGAUCCAACGAGUCAUUUCGUCGGAAUUUUCUCGGAAACGCUCUUUUCCGUCGACUUUUCGACAAAUAUUUUCGUAGGAAUCAUUGCUUUUCUUGUAGUGAAAGUAGAGGAGGAAGUCGAUCGAACACCACAUGAGAAUGAUAUUUACUAAAGAUAGGUCCGUCUGAAAACGAUAUUUUCUUCUACGUUUUUCAUUACAUUUUGUUAUUCUUCUCUUCAUCUAAACUUUGUUCUUAAUAUCAUUAUUCUUUCAUAUAUUCAUCAUGUCUUCUUCGCCAUCGUUCAUGUUUACUUCCGUUAUGCAUGAGUAAUUUCAUUAGGUUGUUAUUGGAAAUAUAUUUAAGGUGGUUCAUCUAGAUUUGUGAAACAGUUUGUUGCUUGAUGAACCAUCUUGUUACUGCGCUUAGGUAGAUUUACUUUCCGAAAAUUGAUAAAUCACCUUAACUAAAUUAUAUAAGUAAAGUGUCAUAGUUUGUGAAAGUUUAGUUAUGAAUUUUUGUGAAUACUUAGAAUUCAGAUUGUUUAUGUGUGUUUACCGUUUUUAAUUACUCGCGGAAGUUGAGUAAAAUAGGUUGCUAGAUAAAGUAAUUAGUACUGCAGAGGUAGGUUAAUUAUUAGUUCGAAAUUCAAGUUCUUGAAUUCGAAUAAGCAGAAGAUCAAUAGAUCCCGAAUGAGAUUGAUCGAUCCAAGCUGAGAGCGAUCAAUCCUUGCCUAAGAUCGAUCGAUCUUCUCUAUUCCCUGAGUCUUAUUUGUCUAGUCGAUAUUGAUCCAUGAUACCCUGCGAAUUCUCCUUUGCCCAAUGUUUUCUCUCAUUGAUUUUAUCUCAAUACUUGCUAGUUCAUCUCUAUUUUCCACAUCAUCCACAACCCAAAAACAAACAACCUUAUAAUAAACUCGUUGUGUAAAUGUUUGGACUUCAGUGGAUCGAACCCUAAGUACUAUUGUGUUUGCUGUGCACUUACAGUCUUAUUUCAGGGUUUAAGAUCUGAGCACAUCAAUUUUUUAACGUCGUUGCCAGGGACCAAUUUAAUUUCCUACGAAUUUUACACCAGAAUUUAGCCUAAGGUACGCGUUUACUUUUUAAUUUAUUUCUGUAUCUUUUUGUGUCUCAGGUUCUCUUGAGAAAAAGAUAGAUCUUCGACACCGUACAGUUGGAGAAUUCGAUUCGUUAGAUGUUUGCUUCUAAAAUCGCAAUCCAAUAUGACCUGCACAACCCCCUCGAGAGUUUAAGAUCAGCUCAAAACUUAUUGCUUUGGUUGAAUGCAAUACUAAUUACAAUUUAGGCUCUCUUAGUCUUUUUAUGAGAGCAACCAUUGCAUUAGUUGUAAGUAGUUUGACUAUCUGGGCGAAUAUUUGCAUGUGGUGUGCAAAUUUAGUAAUUUCAAGUUCAUAUUUGUUAAGAUAUGCAAAUAAACAUUUUAAAAACACAACUCCAUAAU
rnacentral:sRNA from 1 species